CCUACGGGUGGCUGCAGUGGGGAAUAUUGGACAAUGGGCGAAAGCCUGAUCCAGCCAUGCCGCGUGUGUGAAGAAGGCCUUCGGGUUGUAAAGCACUUUCAGUGGGGAAGAAAGCCUUGGGGCUAAUACCCUCGAGGAAGGACAUCACCCACAGAAGAAGCGCCGGCUAACUCCGUGCCAGCAGCCGCGGUAAUACGGAGGGUGCGAGCGUUAAUCGGAAUUACUGGGCGUAAAGCGCGCGUAGGCGGUCUGAUAAGCCGGUUGUGAAAGCCCCGGGCUCAACCUGGGAACGGCAUCCGGAACUGUCAGGCUAGAGUGCAGGAGAGGAAGGUAGAAUUCCCGGUGUAGCGGUGAAAUGCGUAGAGAUCGGGAGGAAUACCAGUGGCGAAGGCGGCCUUCUGGACUGACACUGACGCUGAGGUGCGAAAGCGUGGGUAGCAAACAGGAUUAGAUACCCUGGUAGUC
rnacentral:rRNA from 1 species